GAUGAAGAACGUAGCGAAAUGCGAUACUUGGUGUGAAUUGCAGAAUCCCGUGAACCAUCGAGUCUUUGAACGCAAGUUGCGCCUCAAGCCAUUAGGUUGAGGGCACGUCUGCCUGGGCGUCACAUAUCGUUGCCUGAUGCCAGUUUCCUCGUGAUGGGUGACUGUGCAGGGCGAAUGAUGGCUUCCCGUGAGCAUUGUUGCCUCAUGGUUGGUUGAAAAUUGAGUCCUUGGUAGGGAGCGCCGUUAUAGAUGGUGGUUGAGUGACGAACGAGACCCAAUCAUGUGAGACCCCUACCGAAUUUGGCCUUCAUGACCCACAUGCGUCUUUGGAACGCUCAUGACGAGACCUCAGGUCAGGCGGGGCUACCCGCUGAGUUUAAGCAUAUCAAUAAGCGGAGGA
rnacentral:misc_RNA from 1 species